GACGAACCACACAAACGUUAUUCGGAAUUACUGGGCUUAAAGGGUGCGUAGGCUGCGUAGAAAGUUGGGUGUGAAAUCCCUCGGCUCAACCGAGGAACUGCGCCCAAAACUACUGUGCUCGAGGAAGACAGAGGUGAGCGGAACUUAGGGUGGAGCGGUGAAAUGCGUUGAUAUCCUAAGGAACACCCGUGGCGAAAGCGGCUCACUGGGUCUUUUCUGACGCUGAGGCACGAAAGCUAGGGUAGCGAACGGG
rnacentral:rRNA from 1 species